rnacentral:rRNA from 1 species
CCGCCGCGGUAACACCGGCAGCUCUAGUGGUAGCUGUUUUAUUGGGCCUAAAGCGUUCGUAGCCGGUUUGAUAAGUCACUGGUGAAAUCCUGUAGCUUAACUGUGGGAAUUGCUGGUGAUACUGUUGAACUUGAGGUCGGGAGAGGUUAGCGGUACUCCCAGGGUAGAGGUGAAAUUCUGUAAUCCUGGGAGGACCACCUGUGGCGAAGGCGGCUAACUGGAAUGAACCUGACGGUGAGGGACGAAAGCUAGGGGCGCGAACCGGAUUAGAUACCCGGGUAGUCCUAGCCGUAAACGAUGCGGACUUGGUGUUGGGAUGGCUUUGAGCCGCUCCGGUGCCGAAGGGAAGCUGUUAAGUCCGCCGCCUGGGAAGUACGGUCGCAAGACUGAAACUUAAGGAAUUGGCGGGGGAGCACCACAACGCGUGGAGCCUGCCGGUUUAAUUGGAUUCAACGCCGGACAUCUCACCAGGAGCGACAGCUGUAUGAUUACCAGGCUGAUGACCUUGUUUGACUAGCUGAGAGGAGAGGUGCAUGG